CCUACGGGAGGCAGCAGUGGGGAAUAUUGCACAAUGGGGGGAACCCUGAUGCAGCGACGCCGCGUGAGUGAGGAAGUAUUUCGGUAUGUAAAGCUCCAUCAGCCGGGAAGAAAAUGACGGUACCUGACUAAGGAGCCCCGGCGAACUACGUGCCACCAGCCGCGGUAAUACGUAGGGGGCAAGCGUUAUCCGGCUUUACUGGGUGUUAUGGGGGGGUAGACGGUUAUGCAAGUCUGAAGUGAAAGCCCAAGGCUCAACCAUGGGACUGCUUUGGAAACUGGAAGACUGGAGUGCAGGAGAGGUAUGCGGAAUUCGUAGUGUAGCGGUGAAAUGCGUAGAUAUUAGGAGGAACACCAGUGGCGAAGGCGGCUUGCUGGACUGAAACUGACGUUGAGGCUCGAAGGCGUGGGGAGCGAACAGGAUUAGAUACCCUUGUAGUC
rnacentral:rRNA from 1 species